ACCGCCCUGCUUGGUCACGUGCGCUCGCGGGGGAGUUGGCGCGGGAGGCGGCUCUCGAGACGCCGAAGGACACCGAGGCUUCGGGACGGGAGCCGUAACACUGAGCCUGAGAGACUGUCGGGGCAGGGAAAACCCCGGAGCGCGGUACUGACUGAGCCAGGGAACGACCUGGGACCGCGCGUGAGGGACGCCGACGCGCCACACACCGGCCGCAGGCCUGCGGCAGGCCUCCGCAACUCCGUACCCCACACACAAACUUAGAGGCCUCGAGACAAGGACAGGAACCGAAAGGCAAGACCGAGACCGCGAAAGAUAUUUGCAUACUGAGAAAGUGUGACACACAAAGGUUGAGACUAAAGCGAGAGACUCAGGAACCAGUGUUGUUGAGCAUCUACGUUCCUGGGCAUCCACAUUCUAGAGUGAGGAUAUAGACAGGUAGAUAAGAAAGAAGGGAAGGAAGAGAGGUAAAAAAAAAUAUUCAAGUUGUGAUAAGUGCUGUGAAGAAAUAUAAAGCAGAGUAAGGGGUCAGAGGGUAGUGGAGAAAGACCUGGAGAUUCAGAGACUGAGACCCAGAUUGGUACAGAUGGGCAGAAUCUCAGGACAUACCAAAACAUGAAUGCAAAGGUGGAAACACCAAAACCAAAACAUUAAGAUCUAGAGAAAAUGAGACACACUGGGGCCCUGAAGUACUCAAAAACAGCAGAGGAUGAAAAAUAAAAAUAAAUCCUAAAGCAGGUGAAUACCAAGAAUAGCUAAGACAAUAAGACAAUGAAACAGCCACUGCUUCUGAGCAUUUCCCAGGCCAUCUUUGAAGGGGGAAUAAGGAUGUAAGAUCCUGCAUCUCAAUUAUCCGACACUGUGAUCUUGAAAGCCCUCAACUCUGGACUUCUAGAUGUCAGCAAAGUUCAGUCUCAAAGAUUCUUCCUUUGUAAUAAGCAAAAGGAAAAUGGGACAAGACUGACAGCACUCUGAGGUGGUUUUAUAUCUGCAUUCAGUGGGAGAGACAGGGUGGAGUGUGCUGAUUCCAUCUCAUCUGGAACAUUUCAUUUUGUAGGAUGUCCUCAACACAGGGAUGCGUUAUGACUUUGGUAGGUCCUAGACACUUUUGCAUUUGUGGGCUCCUUCCUCUAUAAAAGAAAAAUAAAAUACAUUUCAUAUCACUUUGGUACAAAGAUGAAUAUAAUCCAGGCUGGAUUCAUUACUAUUAACAUUCAUUUAUUUCUUCUGAUUUCAAAAUAAAUUAAGACUUAAGUAUUUUUGUGGGUCUCUAAAAAUAUCAUGGAUAAAUUGGCGCCAUCUCAGUCUGGGUCUGUUCAAUGUUUCCUUGAGACUAGACCCAGAAUGUGUCAGAGUACUGCUGAAAUGAUACUGUGUUAUUCUCAGCAUAUCAAGAUGACUUGAUCAUCAUGGGAACCUCGACUGGUCAUAGGAACCUUGGUUCCAUUGUCAAAUUGCUGCCUGCUGGACAUUUUCUCCUUUGUGCCGGAUAAGUUUUGUGGGGAGAUAUCUGAGACUUUGCCAAUUCUCCAGUUGUCUCUAUUUGCCUAAUAAACUACCCUCAAAUUUACU